GGUUUAACCCCUUCCCUUAUUA
rnacentral:tRNA from 1 species